UGGGGAAUAUUGCACAAUGGGCGCAAGCCUGAUGCAGCGACGCCGCGUGAGGGAUGACGGCCUUCGGGUUGUAAACCUCUGUUAGCAGGGAAGAAGAGAAAUUGACGGUACCUGCAGAGAAAGCGCCGGCUAACUACGUGCCAGCAGCCGCGGUAAUACGUAGGGCGCGAGCGUUGUCCGGAAUUAUUGGGCGUAAAGAGCUUGUAGGCGGUUUGUCGCGUCUGCUGUGAAAGGCCGGGGCUUAACCCCGUGUAUUGCAGUGGGUACGGGCAGACUAGAGUGCAGUAGGGGAGACUGGAACUCCUGGUGUAGCGGUGGAAUGCGCAGAUAUCAGGAAGAACACCGAUGGCGAAGGCAGGUCUCUGGGCUGUAACUGACGCUGAGAAGCGAAAGCAUGGGGAGCGAACAGGAUUAGAUACCCUGGUAGUCCAUGCCGUAAACGUUGGGCACUAGGUGUGGGGGACAUUCCACGUUUUCCGCGCCGUAGCUAACGCAUUAAGUGCCCCGCCUGGGGAGUACGGCCGCAAGGCU
rnacentral:rRNA from 1 species